rnacentral:rRNA from 1 species
CCGUUUGGUGGUGGGGGAGUAGCCGGGCUAACGCCCCGGGUAAUACCGCAUACGGUUGCCGAGGGGAGUCCCUUGGCAAAGAAACCUCCGGGGCACAGAGAGGGGCUCGCGGCCUAUCAGCUAGUUGGUGAGGUAAUGGCUCACCAAGGCGACGACGGGUAGCUGGUCUGAGAGGAUGGCCAGCCACAUUGGGACUGAGAUACGGCCCAG